UACGAAGGGUGCAAGCGUUACUCGGAAUUACUGGGCGUAAAGCGUGCGCAGGCGGUUUUGUAAGUCUGACGUGAAAGCCCCGGGCUUAACCUGGGAAUUGCGUUGGAGACUGCAAGGCUUGAAUCUGGCAGAGGGGGGUAGAAUUCCACGUGUAGCAGGUGAAAUGCGUAGAGAUGUGGAGGAACACCGAUGGCGAAGGCAGCCCCCUGGGUCAAGAUUGACGCUCAUGCACGAAAGCGUGGGGAGCAAACAGG
rnacentral:rRNA from 1 species